rnacentral:rRNA from 1 species
UGCAGCCGAGCGGUAGAGAGUAGCUUGCUACUCUUGAGAGCGGCGCACGGGUGCGUAACAUGUGUGCAACCUACCUUUAUCUGGGGGAUAGCCUUUCGAAAGGAAGAUUAAUACCCCAUAAUAUAUUGACUGGCAUCAGUUGAUAUUGAAAACUCCGGUGGAUAGAGAUGGGCACGCGCAAGAUUAGAUAGUUGGUGAGGUAACGGCUCACCAAGUCAAUGAUCUUUAGGGGUCCUGAGAGGGAGAUCCCCCACACUGGUACUGAGACACGGACCAGACUCCUACGGGAGGCAGCAGUGGGGAAUAUUGCACAAUGGGUGAGAGCCUGAUCCAGCCAUCCCGCGUGAAGGAUGACGGCCCUAUGGGUUGUAAACUUCUUUUGUACAGGGAUAAACCUACCCUCGUGAGGGUAGCUGAAGGUACUGUACGAAUAAGCACCGGCUAACUCCGUGCCAGCAGCCGCGGUAAUACGGAGGGUGCAAGCGUUAUCCGGAUUUAUUGGGUUUAAAGGGUCCGUAGGCGGAUCUGUAAGUCAGUGGUGAAAUCUCGCAGCUUAACUGCGAAACUGCCAUUGAUACUGCAGGUCUUGAGUAAAUUUGAAGUGGCUGGAAUAAGUAGUGUAGCGGUGAAAUGCAUGGAUAUUACUUAGAACACCAAUUGCGAAGGCAGGUCACUAAGAUUUAACUGACGCUGAGGGACGAAAGCGUGGGGAGCGAACAGGAUUAGAUACCCUGGUAGUCCACGCCGUAAACGAUGCUAACUCGUUUUUGGAGCGCAAGCUUCAGAGACCAAGCGAAAGUGAUAAGUUAGCCACCUGGGGAGUACGUUCGCAAGAAUGAAACUCAAAGGAAUUGACGGGGGCCCGCACAAGCGGUGGAUUAUGUGGUUUAAUUCGAUGAUACGCGAGGAACCUUACCAAGACUUAAAUGGGAAUUGACAGAUUUAGAAAUAGAUCCUUCUUCGGACA